rnacentral:rRNA from 1 species
GAUGAACGCUAGCGGCAGGCUUAACACAUGCAAGUCGAGGGGUAGAGGCUUUCGGGCCUUGAGACCGGCGCACGGGUGCGUAACGCGUAUACAAUCUGCCUUGUACUGGGGGAUAGCCCAGAGAAAUUUGGAUUAAUACUCCAUAGUAUUUUCGGUUGGCAUCAACUGAUUAUUAAAGUUUUUCGGUACAAGAUGAGCAUGCGUCCCAUUAGCUAGUUGGUAUGGUAACGGCGUACCAAGGCUACGAUGGGUAGGGGUCCUGAGAGGGAGAUCCCACACACUGGUACUGAGACACGGACCAGACUCCUACGGGAGGCAGCAGUGAGGAAUAUUGGUCAAUGGUCGCAAGACUGAACCAGCCAUGCCGCGUGCAGGAUGAAGCAUCUAUGGUGUGUAAACUGCUUUUGUACGGGAAGAAACACUCCUACGUGUAGGAGCUUGACGGUACCGUAAGAAUAAGGAUCGGCUAACUCCGUGCCAGCCGCCGCUGUAAUAC